rnacentral:rRNA from 1 species
CCGCUUCGGGAUGGCCUCGCGGCCUAUCAGCUAGUUGGUGAGGUAACGGCUCACCAAGGCGACGACGGGUAGCUGGUCUGAGAGGAUGUCCAGCCACACUGGGACUGAGACACGGCCCAG